rnacentral:rRNA from 1 species
UGUGUGUGUUAGUGGAAGCGUCUGGAAAGGCGCGCGAUACAGGGUGACAGCCCCGUACACAAAAAUGCACAUACUGUGAGCUCGAUGAGUAGGGCGGGACACGUGGUAUCCUGUCUGAAUAUGGGGGGACCAUCCUCCAAGGCUAAAUACUCCUGACUGACCGAUAGUGAACCAGUACCGUGAGGGAAAGGCGAAAAGAA